rnacentral:rRNA from 1 species
AUAGUGGCGACGGGUGAGUAACACGUGGGCAAUCUGCCCUGCACUCUGGGACAAGCCCUGGAAACGGGGUCUAAUACCGGAUACUGAUCCGUCUGGGCAUCCAGACGGUUCGAAAGCUCCGGCGGUGCAGGAUGAGCCCGCGGCCUAUCAGCUUGUUGGUGAGGUAGUGGCUCACCAAGGCGACGACGGGUAGCCGGCCUGAGAGGGCGACCGGCCACACUGGGACUGAGACACGGCCCAGACUCCUACGGGAGGCAGCAGUGGGGAAUAUUGCACAAUGGGCGAAAGCCUGAUGCAGCGACGCCGCGUGAGGGAUGACGGCCUUCGGGUUGUAAACCUCUUUCAGCAGGGAAGAAGCGAAAGUGACGGUACCUGCAGAAGAAGCGCCGGCUAACUACGUGCCAGCAGCCGCGGUAAUACGUAGGGCGCGAGCGUUGUCCGGAAUUAUUGGGCGUAAAGAGCUCGUAGGCGGCUUGUCACGUCGGUUGUGAAAGCCCGGGGCUUAACCCCGGGUCUGCAGUCGAUACGGGCAGGCUAGAGUUCGGUAGGGGAGAUCGGAAUUCCUGGUGUAGCGGUGAAAUGCGCAGAUAUCAGGAGGAACACCGGUGGCGAAGGCGGAUCUCUGGGCCGAUACUGACGCUGAGGAGCGAAAGCGUGGGGAGCGAACAGGAUUAGAUACCCUGGUAGUCCACGCCGUAAACGGUGGGCACUAGGUGUGGGCAACAUUCCACGUUGUCCGUGCCGCAGCUAACGCAUUAAGUGCCCCGCCUGGGGAGUACGGCCGCAGGCUAAAACUCAAAGGAUUGACGGGGCCGCACAGCGCGAGCAUGUG